UGUGGUUGUUUUCAUGCAGCUGAGGUCAAAUCAUCACUAAAUGUUUCGUUCUUAUUGUUCCAGUUUUCAUCAUCAGAGCUCAGAUCUUCAUGAACAAAGCAGGUUCUUGUUGAAUCUGUUGUGUGCAGCAGCAGAGAGAGAACAGCAGACAGGAGAGAAGACAGUGGAGCUCUUAUCAUCAGUGUGCACAUAUCAAACAUUCCCUCUGCAUGGUGGUGGAUACAUGGAUGAUACAUAUCAGUCUGACUUCCUGCUGGAUCUGUGCUCCCAUGUGAAGGACUAUGAGACUAAAACAGGACUGAGUGUCCUUCCAUCAUUACAGUCAGUUUUCCAGUCAGCUGCAGUCUGGUCCAUAAAGCUCUCAGAGAGAAAGAGCUCCAUCCUCCUGGAAGUGCUGAAACUCCAAUCAGAGAAGAAACAAGUGGAGCUGAGAGGCUGCUCACAUGAAGAGAGUGAAGUGAGGAGUUUGCUGCAGUGUCUGCCUUAUAUCUCACAGCUCAGUUUUGAUCCAUGGAGCUCAGAUCUCCAUGAACAAAGAAGGUUCUUGUUGAAUCUGUUGUGUGCAGCAGCAGAGAGAGAACAGCAGACAGGAGAGAAGACAGUGGAGCUCUUAUCAUCAGUGUGCAGAUACAAAACAUUCACUCUACGUGGUGGUGGAUGCAUCUAUAAUACAUAUCAGGCUGACUUCCUGCUGGAUCUGUACUCCCAUGUGAAGGACUAUGAGACUAAAACAGGACUGAGUGUCCUUCCAUCAUUACAGUCAGUUUUCCAGUCAGCUGCAGUCUGGUCCAUAGAGCUCUCAGAGAGAAAGAGCUCCAUCCUCCUGGAAGUGCUGAAACUCCAAUCAGAGAAGAAACAAGUGAAGCUGACAGGCUGCUCACAUGAAGAGAGUGAAGUGAGGAGUUUGCUGCAGUGUCUGCCUUAUAUCUCACAGCUCAGUUUUCAUCAUCAGAGCUCAGAUCUUCAUGAACAAAGCAGGUUCUUGUUGAAUCUGUUGUGUGCAGCAGCAGAGAGAGAACAGCAGACAGGAGAGAAGACAGUGGAGCUCUUAUCAUCAGUGUGCAGAUACAAAACAUUUCUUCUAUCAGUUGAUGAUGAUGAUGAUGAUGAUGAUGUUUAUAAGGAACAUUGGUCUGACUUCCUGCUGGAUCUGUACUCCCAUGUGAAGGACUAUGAGACUAAAACAGGACUGAGUGUCCUUCCAUCAUUACAGUCAGUUUUCCAGUCAGCUGCAGUCUGGUCCAUAAAGCUCUCAAAGAGAAAGAGCUCCAUCCUCCUGGAAGUGCUGAAACUCCAAUCAGAGAAGAAACAAGUGGAGCUGAGAGGCUGCUCACAUGAAGAGAGUGAAGUGAGGAGUUUGCUGCAGUGUCUGCCUUAUAUCUCACAGCUCAGUUUUCAUCAUCAGAGCUCAGAUCUUCAUGAUCAAAGCAGGUUCUUGUUGGAUCUGUUGUGUGCAGCAGCAGAGAGAGAACAGCAGACAGGAGAGAAGACAGUGGAGCUCUUAUCAUCAGUGUGCAGAUACAAAACAUUCCUUCUAUUAGUUGAUGAUGAUGAUGAUGAUGAUGUUUAUAAGGAACGUUGGUCUACUUUCCUGCUGGAUCUGUACUCCCAUGUGAAGGACUAUGAGACUAAAACAGGACUGAGUGUCCUUCCAUCAUUACAGUCAGUUUUCCAGUCAGCUGCAGUCUGGUCCAUAGAUCUCUCAGAGAGAAAGAGCUCCAUCCUCCUGGAAGUGCUGAAACUCCAAUCAAAGAAGAAACAAGUGGAGCUGAGAGGCUGCUCACAUGAAGAGAGUGAAGUGAGGAGUUUGCUGCAGUGUCUGCCUUAUAUCUCACAGCUCAGUUUUCAUCAUCAGAGCUCAGAUCUUCAUGAACAAAGCAGGUUCUUGUUGAAUCUGUUGUGUGCAGCAGCAGAGAGAGAACAGCAGACAGGAGAGAAGACAGUGGAGCUCUUAUCAUCAGUGUGCACAUACAAAACAUUUCUUCUAUCAGUUGAUGAUGAUGAUGAUGAUGAUGAUGAUGAUGAUGUUUAUAAGGAACAUUGGUCUGACUUCCUGCUGGACCUGUACUCCCAUGUGAAGGACUAUGAGACUAAAACAGGACUGAGUGUCCUUCCAUCAUUACAGUCAGUUUUCCAGUCAGCUGCAGUCUGGUCCAUAAAGCUCUCAAAGAGAAAGAGCUCCAUCCUCCUGGAAGUGCUGAAACUCCAAUCAGAGAAGAAACAAGUGGAGCUGAGAGGCUGCUCACAUGAAGAGAGUGAAGUGAGGAGUUUGCUGCAGUGUCUGCCUUAUAUCUCACAGCUCAGUUUUGAUCAUCAGAGCUCAGAUCUUCAUGAUCAAAGCAGGUUCUUGUUGAAUCUGUUGUGUGCAGCAGCAGAGAGAGAACAGCAGACAGGAGAGAAGACAGUGGAGCUCUUAUCAUCAGUGUGCACAUAUCAAACAUUCCCUCUGCGUGGUGGUGGAUACAUGUAUGAUACAUAUCGGUCUACUUUCCUGCUGGAUCUGUGCUCCCAUGUAAAGGACUAUGAGACUAAAACAGGACUGAGUGUCCUUCCAUCAUUACAGUCAGUUUUCCAGUCAGCUGCAGUCUGGUCCAUAGAGCUCUCAGAGAGAAAGAGCUCCAUCCUCCUGGAACUGCUGAAACUCCAAUCAGAGAAGAAACAAGUGGAGCUGAGAGGCUGCUCACAUGAAGAGAGUGAAGUGAGGAGUUUGCUGCAGUGUCUGCCUUAUAUCUCACAGCUCAGCUGCGACCCAGAGCUCUUCCAGACUGUGUGUACAGUCGUCUGUGUGAGAUCCAGAGAGGAGGCCCAGCAGCUGGUCUCUCUGCUGCAGCUCCUGGACUUCACACUGCUGUUGUCAGGACAGUUAAAGAGGAAAACCUGUAGGUCUGUGGGCAGAGUUCUCAAACUGUGUCCCUCUAGAGUGGAUCUCACCCUCACACCCAGCAAGAUGUCUGUCAGAGCCGCCUCUGACCUCUUCAGACACACAACAAAACUCAACAGUCUGAGGCUUUCUAAAGGCAUGGCUUUGCUCCUGUCUCAGUGGGUAAGAAGAGACAGAGUGGGCUGUCCACUGGCUGUUGAAGAGCUUUACCUUCUGCCCAUGACAUCCAGUCCAUCAGACAGAGUGCUAUUGAAGGUUGUCAGUGGUUUGGCAGUCCUGCUAAGACACUGUGCAGUGGGACUGUUAGACCUGACUGAGUCCUGCAUCCCUGCUCAGUGUCUCAUUCCACUGCUGCUUCAUGAUGCUCCUCUGACAAUAAAACUGAAUGAGAAGAACAUCCAGCAGCUGCUGGUCCUCCUCCAUCAAAUCCAGGACAAUCACCUGACGCUGUCCUUCUUAAGGAAGACUGGUGGAGACCUGAGCUCCUGCUGUCUGAAGUGGGAGCUUCUUCACUACCUGCUACAGCAGCAGUCAACUCAGACCAUCACUGUGGACCUGAGGAAGAACCGCUUCUUACAGGAGAGCGCUGCACAGCUGCUUCCAUUUCUGGACAGGAUCAUGUUUAAAAGGCCCAGUCCCAGCUUUGUGAGGACUUCCAUCAGAGAGCUCUAUAGAGCUCGUGGUCAUAACACUGUGCCCCUUUACCUGAGGUCAUUUGAUCAUGUGAUCAACCUGAACUGCACAGAGCUGGAUUCAGAGGACUGUGAGGCUCUACUCUUCAUCCUCACACACAGUGAUGGAGUUAAACUGAGCCUCCUGUGGACCGCCAUACUAACAGAGGGAAUAAAGUCCAUCCUCUUCACGUUGGACAAAGUCUCUCAUCUCAGGAUUGACAGGAACCUGCUGCUGAUGUUCAUCCACUCCUGUGCUGCCUCUGACGACCAGCAGAGGGCGGCGUUAGGCCUGCUGAGGACUCUGCAGUACAGGGUGGAUCUGUCCUGCUCUUGCUAUGUGCAGCUAUCAGAGCAGGAUCAGACUGAGCAGACUCUGAGUCUGACUGCUGAGGACUGCCAGGCUGUCUCCUCCCUCCUGAGACACAGCAGCCGAGAAACACAGCUGGACCUGAGAGAUUGCCAGGUGCAGGACAGCAGCCUGGACCUGCUGUUUCCUGUCCCGGACAGAGUCCAGCUCAGAGUCAGUAAAACUGUCCUCCUCCAGCUGCUGUGUCUGGUCCCUGGAAACAGUGAGUGGGACACAGCGAGGCGGACCCUGUCCCUGUGUGGAGCUUUGGGUAGAGAGCUGGAUCUGAGUCACACCAAGCUGGAUCAUAGGACCUGUUGGGCUUUGGUCCAGAUGCUCGAUGUCUCUGAAGGACUGACAGAACUGGACCUCAGUCACUGUCAGCUGACUGACCAGCUGCUGCUCCCACUCAUCACACAUCUGCACAAAGUACAAGUGCUGGAUCUGAGUCACAAUAAGAUCACUGAUGCUUCCACUGAUGUGUUACUCCACCUGGUCUCCAUCAGCCCGUCCUCCAACACUGUUAGACUCUUCAACAACAUCAUAGAAGACAGAACUCCCUUUAAGGAACUCAGACAGGUUGAAAUAUGGUGACGCAGCCAUCAGCCAGCUGCUGCUCUGAUCAUCAGGGAUUAAUCAGAGAGUUGAACCCAAAACUAGGACCUAAAUUAGAGGAGAGAGAAGGCAACAACAGGUGAAGUCUGUGACUACUACUGAAGUGACUGUCCACAAGGUGGCACCAAUGACUUUUCACAUUCACAGUUUAGGUGUGAUUUUAGUCAUUUGUUAUUUAUUUACACAGUUAGUUGUUUUUAUUAUGUUCCAAAUAUCAUUUGUUAUUGUGCGGUUGUUGCAUAUUUUUGUUGUUAUACAUUAAGGAACUGUACACCACUUCCAGGUCAUUUCUAUGGAUACCAAAGAUGCUCAAACAUUUUCCUGACCACUUUUGGCCAAGUUUGAUUAUUUUUUUUUUACUUUUGUUUGGAUUGAUAUAUUGUGUAUUUCGUUUUGGCAAAUAAAUGAGUUGAAUACUUCA
ensembl:lncRNA